UAACACAUGCAAGUCGAUUCGAUUUACCUUCGGGUAUUGAGGAUGGCGGACGGGUGAGUAACGCGUAAGGAACUUGCCUCUUGGUCUGGGACAACUGUUGGAAACGACAGCUAAUACCGGAUAUUAUGAGAUUCUCGCAUGGGAAACUUAUGAAAGCUAUAUGCGCCAAGAGAGAGCCUUGCGUUCCAUUAGCUAGUUGGUGGGGUAACGGCCCACCAAGGCGACGAUGGAUAGCCGGCCUGAGAGGGUGAACGGCCACAAGGGGACUGAGACACGGCCCUUACUCCUACGGGAGGCAGCAGUGGGGAAUAUUGGACAAUGGGCCACAAGCCUGAUCCAGCAAUUCUGUGUGCACGAUGAAGGUCUUCGGAUUGUAAAGUGCUUUCAGUUGGGAAGAAGAAAGUGACGGUACCAACAGAAGAAGCGACGGCUAAAUAC
rnacentral:rRNA from 1 species